AUACCNUAUUAUUUUUAUUGUAAAAAGUUAUAAAUCUGAGUAUUAAUAGAUAUAGUCUUUAAACUUAAAAAAUUUGGCGGUAUUAUAACCAUUUAGAGGAAUCUGUUAAUUAAUUGAUAGUCCACAUUGAACCUUACUUAAAUUAUUUUCUUGUAUAUCGCUGUUUAAGAAGAUAUUUUUAGAUAAUUUUCUAAAUAAAUUAUUAUUUAAUAUUUCAAGUCAAGGUGCAGUAAUAUAUAAGUUGAAUAAUGGAUUACAAUAAAUUUUAUUUAUAACGGAUAUAUUAUUGAAAUGUAAUUUAAAGGUGGAUUUAAUUGUAAUUUUAUAAAGAUUAAUAAAAUGAUUUAAGGUUCUAUAAUAUGUACACAUCGC
rnacentral:rRNA from 1 species